rnacentral:rRNA from 1 species
GAUCAUGGCUACAGGAUGAACGCUAGCGGCAGGCUUAACACAUGCAAGUCGAGGGGCAGCAUGAUGUAGCAAUACAUUGAUGGCGACCGGCGCAAGGGUGCGUAACGCGUGAGCAACUUGCCCGUUUCUGGGGGAUAACCGGUGGAAACGCCGACUAAUACCCCAUAGUAUAACGAAGAGGCAUCUUUUUGUUAUUAAAGAAUUUCGGAAACGGAUAGGCUCGCGUGACAUUAGCUAGAUGGAGAGGUAACGGCUCACCUAGCCUACGAUGUCUAGGGGUUCUGAGAGGAAGGUCCCCCACACUGGAACUGAGACACGGUCCAGACUCCUACGGGAGGCAGCAGUGAGGAAUAUUGGUCAAUGGUCGAGAGACUGAACCAGCCAAGUAGCGUGCAGGAUGACGGCCCUCUGGGUUGUAAACUGCUUUUAGUUGGGAAUAAAAGGGAGUACGUGUACUCUGUAUUGUAUGUACCAUCAGAAAAAGGACCGGCUAAUUCCGUG